rnacentral:lncRNA from 1 species
ACAAGACUGAGGAACUGAAGGUAAAUCAAGAAGAGUUCUUCAGCAUUCAAGAUGCGUUCCAUAAAAUGUAACAGCGGGGACGGAUUACAUUUAGGACUUAUGGAUCUGCUUCCAACCAUCACCUGUGAAAUAACUAACAAGGCCCUGCAAGGGAAGGAAGGAGAUACACAGUACAGAAGAGAGACCUGGUUAUACAAAAACCCAGGGGAAGGAACGCGGGAUGAAGAACUGGAGUCUCACAAGAAACGGAAGCUCUGGAUGUGGAGGCGAAUGCCCGUAACCCUAGCGCUCAGGAGGCUGAGGCAGGAAGAUUGCUGCAAGCCUGAGUCCAGCCCGGGCUGCAUGGUGAGUUCAAG